GGCGGCAGAGCCCCCGGCGUGCUGCCGGUCCUGAUCUGUCUCUGUGUGUCACCCUGGUGAGAACACUGUGGGAGGAGAGUCUGUAAAUAGUAUUACGAGCGAGGAAGAUGUGAAGAGCAACAGUACGGGGAAAUGCAGAGAAGAGAUGGGUUCGGGUUGGAUGGUUAGUAGCUGUGCCAAGGAAGUAACGCUCCAUUUGCAGAAAUGAUCCCAUUCUGUACAUGUCGGAAUUGUAUGUGUGUGAAAAUAACAGAUGGUAUAAUGGUUCUGACCGCAGAGGGUCUUUAAAUAUCUAUCAGUGUGGAUUCUAAAACGAUACUAACAGAUACUUCCGUCUUUGCGUGAAGGGCGUUGUAUUUGGAUUGUAUAAGUGAACGAUUUAGUUGCUAUGUUGCAAUUUUGGAAUAUAAUAAUAGUAAUAGCUGUACAUUGAAGUUGUCAUGUAAUUUUAUAUCAAUAUGAAUUGAAAGAAUAGGCUUGAAGUUUUCACAAGAUGAGUCAGAAGCAUUUUGUCCUCGUAUGUCCCACAUACAAAGGAUUGUAUAAAUCCGUAGUUUACUUUCAUUUUCAAAUAGUUUGAGCUCUUGUUGUCUCACCCAUGUGUUGCCAGUUGAUGAACAAAGAAUCUGCUAAUUAUGGGUUAAAAUGUCUCAGUCCAGUGAGGUAAACGUAAACAUACAGUGGGCAGCAAUGUGGUCACAAACCUGGCAAUUAGAACAGAAAGAAAAAAUAAGAGAAUCCAUCAUUUCUGUUUGGGGUUUUGGGGGGCGAUUCCCCGGCAGAAUGCGGUUUGAUGGUGUAAAUUGACACGCAGGAGACAAAAAAUAAAGUUUGACGUAAAUGCGACGUAGAGACAUGAAAAAUAAGCAAAGCAGAGCAUCACAACGGAGUUGGGCCUCUCAUCAUCAAACAGACUCCUGUAGCAAGGCAAGCAUGUCCGUGUUUAGAAAUAUAGAGUUUAUAAGACACACAAUGCUGCUGUGAUGUCUCUGCUGUGACACAUUUUUCCCAUCAUGGACAAACAAAGUUGAGCGAAACUUUAUCUGGUAAACAAAAACAGCAAGCGACUCAAUCUGUGUCUGAGUCAUAAAUACCUCGACUACAUAUCAUCUUAUAUGGUGAUGUUAUAAAGUGCUGUGGCGUACUUUGGCUCGCCACAUGUUGUACAAAUAUUUUGAAUCUUUGCUUAUCCAAAUUGAAUUUAUCUGACAAACCCUUCUAAUCUCAACAGAUGAAUCAAGCCGCAGACACGUGAGCAGGAUGUGAGCAGCAUCUCCCGAGCCGUUCCGAGUAAAAUCCUUCCAAACAUUCGAACCUAACUGGCUUCAGCAGCGAUACGACGCUGUUUCUUUCUCGCCAAAAUAAACCCAACCGGUUAGAUGCAGGUGACUUUGUGAAAUGUGUUUGGACAACACGACCGUGGUUGCUAACAAACAAAGGAGCAGCAGCGCACAUCUAACUGAUGUUUGAGGAGGCUCAUUGCUCAAGAAUGCUUUCCGUAAGCCGAAAGGCCGUGAUUUAAUGAAAUAGAGCAAAUCAAUGAUCCGCAAACAUGAAAACCCUGGAUUUUAUUUCCACUCAUCGAGUUGAUGAUAUAUGAUCCCUUUUGUAUAUAUUCAGGAGCAUUAGAUUCAAAGGAGCAGUUAAAAGAAACGUCACUGUAAACCAUCCACAGAGUCCUCUCACCAAGCAGCAACGGACAGAAGAAGGUUAUGAAAAUCCACCCUGCCGCUUUUGAUAGUGACUUACAGGCCGGUUGGACCAAAGCAUCCCUUUCCUUACUGUGUGUGUCCCAAACUGUAUGUGAAGCAAUUGGUGUAGCUGUGGAAACAAGUCAAUUUAAGUGAUCUGAUGUGCUGAAAAUCUGUUAAAAAUACAAAAGGUGUAGGUGUGAUAAAUUAAACGACAAGGAGACAAUACGCGGACACAUUGUUGCAAUGUUGUAUCAACUGUUUCAAGUGUGCUAAGUCAACUAAGACCAAACCCUGACUAAAGAAAGUGCACUAGUGGGCCCUCUUGUGUCUCAAAGUAGUAUCAUUUCUAAUGCGGCAGUACAUUAAAAACCCUUUGAAACCUAAUAUGACGUUAUGAUUGAUGCAGUGCAGACCAGGUUUCCAAAGACUCGCACUACUUUAUCCAGCCACAGAUUGCUCUCUGUCUCUCUCUCUGCCUCCUCCUCAGCGUCUCGCUCUUUCUGUGGCCCACAAAUCUGCAAAGAAUGGAGGGUUUCAGCAGAAUGUCCUCCUCAGCUCAGGCUGGGAUUGGACCAGGCUAAGGGCUGGAGGUAACCCGGAGGCUGCAGAGACGAGAAGGAGCCGGGCUUGCGCACUUCUGCAGAGCAGUCGACCCCCUCCGACCCCCUCCGACCCACCCUGCAGGCACACUGAUGCAGGAAACCGUUUUUAGGGUGUGAUACUUUUUAAGGACAGUUCCCCUGAAUCAGCAGAAGGUAACGUGAUGUCUGCGACUCCAAAACAUGCUGA